rnacentral:misc_RNA from 1 species
AGGGAAAAGGACCCCCUAAGAUAGCGUUGAGGUCACUUCGAUCUUCUUUGGCUCUCACACGCUUUCACCAAUUUUCAGGUGCGAGCCAACAGCGGGCAAUCCUUGUCUCGCUGAUUUCUGUGACGUGCGUCGAGCGCGCAGCACGCAGUCAUGCCAAGCUAUCGAAGCGACGUCGAUCCCUUCAAGGAGAUUCGCGUCCUUCCGCGCGAGGCGGCUCAACUGCGCCACCAUCUCAGUCGCAUCAAUCACGCAUUGCAAACCAAGUACUUCGUGGCGGCGGAGCUGUCGGAGCUGGCACUGCAGCCGGACAGAUCGGAUGAGUUUCUUGCCCUAUACAAGGCAGAGAUCCACCGCGUGGUGGCGAAGCUCAACACGAACGCGAAGAAGCAGUACACCGUGACGGUGGACCCGCUGCGGCUGACGACUGGAUUCGAGUUCAAGCGCGCUGCGGACCGAAAGGGCAAUCUCGGGACAGCCGUCACUGCAGCGAAUGUCGAGGGGUUGACGUCCCCCGACAUGGAUGCAAAGUGGACUGCAUCUCUCCUGGAGACAAGCAGGCUGCUCGCCCAGCAGCACGCCAUCGACUCCAACCGUCAGGCACUCUCGAGCGCAUUACAGUCCACGCCGUCGUCUCAGCAAACGCAGGGCUUGAAAGGAGGUGGCGGCGCGGCAGCUGUGGGCAGUGAUGUCAUCGGCGAUGCCUCCAUCUGUGUCAUUGACUCCGAUGUGCGCAAAGCCAACAAAGAGAGCUUCUUGUUUAGCACCCCACCAGAGUUUACAGGAUUCGCCCCGGCAGGCGCCUCACCUGGCGCGCCAUAGCGAUCAUCACGACACCAUCCCUUUCUCGUUCUCUCCCUCGUUCUACUCGAGCUUUUGAAUGGAGCGGUAGUGAGAGGAGAGAGAGAGAGCGGCCAAAUGAGGCGCUUCCGUAUGGUGAUGUGCUUGAUGCCUUUGCUACUAGACACACGCCUGGGCGUACGUAUACAUCCCUGUGUAUUUUUCCACGCCGGUUUAGACUUUCUGGGACGACACUGUCUCUCCUGACUUCUCUCUUAAUUUGUUGCCUUCUCCGUUUUUCACUAAGAUCUUCUUCACGCACUAUGGCAUGGCAAGAGACCUGGCCGACUCUCAGCAGCGUUGAUCGCAUGGGCGUCUUCUUUUUUCCUUUAGAUGUGUUUAGGCGUGUGUGUGUGUGUAGCACAAGAAUGCGCGCAGGCAAGCAUUGUAAAGGAGCAUCACCCGCUCCCGAUCUGUUUUUCUUCUUCUCACUCUCGCUCUCAUCGUCUCUUCCUGCCCUUUGUCACUCUCGGAUCGACACCGGCUAUCAG